AUACUUACCUGGCAGAGGAGAUACCAUGAUCACGAUGGUGAAUUUCCCAGGUCGAGGCUUAUCCAUUGCACUCCGGAUGUGCGGACCCCUGCGGAUUUCCCCAAGUGCGGGGGAAACUCGACUGCAUAAUUUGUGGUAGUGGGGGACUGUGUUCGCGCUCUCCCCUU